rnacentral:rRNA from 1 species
UACGGAGUGUGCAAGCGUUACUCGGAAUCACUGGGCCUAAAGCGCGCGUAGGCGGUUUUGCAAGUCGGGUGUGAAAUCCCCAAGCUUAACUUGGGAACUGCAUUCGAGACUGCAUUGCUAGAGUAUGGGAGAGAGAAGUGGAAUUUCCGGUGUAGCGGUGAAAUGCGUAGAUAUCGGAAGGAACAUCAGUGGCGAAAGCGACUUCUUGGACCAAUACUGACGCUCAAGUGCGAAAGCGUGGGGAGCAAACAGG